rnacentral:lncRNA from 1 species
AACCACGUCCGCUCCUUCGACGACUACAACGCGCCGCUCCUUGACCUCAUGGCCAGCUUACCGGCCGGCGACAAGGUAGGUGAUUCAGAUUAUGGUUCACUGUUCCAUCAACAUCUUUUACUCAAAGUCCAACUUCAGAUAAAUAUGUUUUACGUCAGUGGUCAACCAUUUAACCUGAUGCACAGUUCUCUUGUUUGUCAGGUAAUUUUGAUUGGACAUAGUGCAGGAGGUCUAAGCGUUGUCCAUGCAAUGCAUUUGUUUGGGGACAGAAUUAAGCAGGCAAUCUUCAUCGCAGCAACCAUGCUUCAGUUCGGCUACCAAACUGAACAAGACAUCAAAGAUGUGAUUCAUCUUUCCACUUUGCAAUGACUACAGUAGAAGCAUUUGUACGUUCUUCACUGAAAAAAAUUGAGUUGAAAAUUAACAGGGUGUACCUGAUUUAUCCGAGCAUGGAGAUGUGUAUGACCUGACAUUUGGUCUAGGAGCUGAUCAUCCGCCUACAGCUGUGGCAUUAAGAAAGGAGUUCCAACGCAUUAUUCUCUAUCAACAAAGCCCCCAAGAGGUACUACUACUGUAAGCAGCAUGGUUUCUUCUGAAUAAAUCUUGUUGCACAAGGAUUGCCUGCUUACUGUUUCUUCAGGACUCUGCACUAGCUUCCAUUCUACUCCGGCCAUGGCCAACGGCGCUCAGCACGGCCAGAUUCACCGGCGACGAUGGAGGAGUUGAG